GAGUUUGAUCAUGGCUCAGGAUGAACGCUGGCGGCGUGCCUAACACAUGCAAGUCGAGCGCGGUUGUGCUUAGUAUUGAGUGUUUUAUUGAUAUAAAACAUUGAAUUCUAUGCACAACUGAGCGGCGGACGGGUGAGUAACGCGUGGGUAACCUGCCCUAUACACAUGGAUAACAUACUGAAAAGUUUACUAAUACAUGAUAAAAUAGUUUUUCGGCAUCGAAGAAUUAUCAAAGUGUUAGCGGUAUAGGAUGGACCCGCGUCUGAUUAGCUAGUUGGUGAGAUAACUGCCCACCAAGGCGACGAUCAGCAGCCGACCUGAGAGGGUGAUCGGCCACAUUGGAACUGAGACACGGUCCAAACUCCUACGGGAGGCAGCAGUGGGGAAUAUUGCACAAUGGGCGCAAGCCUGAUGCAGCAAUCGCCGCGUGAACGAUGAAGGUCUUCGGAUCGUAAAGUUCUGUUGCAGGGGAAGAUAAUGANCGUACCCCUGNGAGCC
rnacentral:rRNA from 1 species